AAUAAGUGUAGUUCUUACACUGUUCAUGUCCAACGUGUGACCGUUCGUCUUAUUUGAAAUUCUUUUAUGAUUAGUAUUUUUAUUAUUAUUAGAUGAUAAAACAUGAAUAGUACUUUAUGUGCGACUAAUUAUUUUUAAUUAUUUCUCAUAUUUUUUUUAAAUAAGACGAACAGUUAAACGUUUGACACGAAUACCCACAGCUGCACUAAUU
rfam:Oryza nivara chromosome 10, whole genome shotgun sequence.